rnacentral:misc_RNA from 1 species
GAUGAAGAACGUAGCGAAAUGCGAUAAGUAGUGUGAAUUGCAGAAUUCAGUGAAUCAUCGAAUCUUUGAACGCACAUUGCGCCCCUUGGUAUUCUAUGGGGCAUGCCUGUUCGAGCGUCAUUUGUACCUUCAAGCUCUGCUUGGUGUUGGGUGUUUGUCUCGCCUCUGCGCGUAGACUCGCCUCAAAACAAUUGGCAGCCGGCGUAUUGAUUUCGGAGCGCAGUACAUCUCGCGCCUUGCACUCAUAACGACGACGUCCAAAAGUACAUUUUUACACUCUUGACCUCGGAUCAGGUAGGGAUACCCGCUGAACUUAAGCAUAUCAAUAAGCGGAGGA